AUCGCUUCUCUGCCUUUUGGCUAAGAUCAAGUGUAGGAUCUGUUCUUAACAGUUUAAUAUCUGAUACAUUUUCUAUCCGAGUCCAAUAUAUUAAAUGGAUUUGGGGAGCAGGAAGACGGAAUAGGAGCUUGCUUGUUCACUUCACGCAUCGAUCUGCUAUUACAGUACCUCCAGGAACAGUGCACACCCU
ensembl:snRNA U2 U2 spliceosomal RNA